GGGACUUUCAACAAGGUUCUCCACCUUUCUGUUAUCCUCCAUUUUAUGAAAUAUUGCAAUAAACCCUAAGUAUCACAUGAUUUCGAGAACCCAUUACUACCAUACUAAUAUAUUAGCAUAUGCUUGCAAACCGUAUUCACUUAGAUGUGAAUAAAAAUAAUUAUACAUAAUGUAGCAAUUACUCAUUCAAUGACCCAAUGCCAAAAUCUAAUCAACAUAAAUUAGCUUUUUCAUAAUUAAUGAGAUACCCAACUUCAUGGUACCAUACUAAUAUAUUAGCACAUGCUUACCUAAUUGUUCUAGGUCUUCCUACCAACUUUUUGGUUGAAUUUUGAUGUUGAUGAGGUGGAUCUCCAUCAAAUCUCCGUAUUGAGUGAAACUUUUAAUUUUGUGGAUCUACUAUCAAUUGGUGUGUUGAGUUUAGGGGUGUUUGGGAGACGUUGUGACCAUGUGUCCUAGUGAAAGUUGAGCGGGAUUUGCUUUUCCACUUGUAGGUGUUUUCUGUCCCCAACUUCCAAAUCGGUAUCUCUCAUAUAGUCUUUUUACAGCACCGGAUGCAGUGACUUUAUGAAUCCUCUUAUAUUUUCAGUUCCUGAUGAGCUAGGUUUUCAAGAUGUAAAAUUGUUUGCUCAUUGUCUUGCAAUAGUGUGGUUAUUGUUUGCAAGAGCCUUUUACGGGGCUCUAUUCUUGUAAUGCCCGUUUAUUAAAGAAAUUGUUGCAGCCAUAGAAAAAAAGUGCUUGACGUAUUGGUGACUGAUGAGUUACAUGUUACGUUAUGUGACUUCCUCAAUGUGUUUUUAUGUCACCAAAGUUUUUGAUGUUUACAUGAAAAACACUUGUAAAAAAAUUAGAUUUCAAUGGAUUGGUAAUAAAAAAUUGGCUACAUUUUGUUUAGUUAGUUUGUUAGAGAUUUAAUUGGCAAACCAAUGUGUAAAAAUAAAAAAUUAAAAAAAUUAAAAAAAAGGGAAAAAAAAAAGAGCAACAAGCAUUCUAAAUUGACUAGACAUACAUUAUGUUGGAAUUUUAAAAGGUUUUAAAAAUUUAACUGUUUUAUUUAUGUAAUCAUUUUGACUGUUUUAUUUUAUUUAUUGUGGGGGUUAUAAAUAUUUAAUAUUCAAAUUUUAUUUCUGGUUGGUGAAUGCCUUAAUUUUUUAGUUGGUGAACUUUUAUGGUUGGUGAAGGUUAUAUGUUUUUGGAUGCCUAUAAAAUGUCACUCCUCC
rnacentral:lncRNA from 1 species